rnacentral:rRNA from 1 species
UACGUAGGGUCCGAGCGUUGUCCGGAAUUACUGGGCGUAAAGAGCUCGUAGGUGGUUUGUCGCGUUGUUCGUGAAAACUCACAGCUCAACUGUGGGCGUGCGGGCGAUACGGGCAGACUAGAGUACUGCAGGGGGAGACUGGAAUUCCUGGUGUAGCGGUGGAAUGCGCAGAUAUCAGGAGGAACACCGGUGGCGAAGGCGGGUCUCUGGGCAGUAACUGACGCUGAGGAGCGAAAGCGUGGGGAGCGAACAGG